GAUGAACGCUGGCGGCGUGCCUAAUACAUGCAAGUCGAGCGAACAGACGAGGAGCUUGCUCCUCUGACGUUAGCGGCGGACGGGUGAGUAACACGUGGAUAACCUACCUAUAAGACUGGGAUAACUUCGGGAAACCGGAGCUAAUACCGGAUAAUAUAUUGAACCGCAUGGUUCAAUAGUGAAAGAGGUUUUGCUGUCACUUAUAGAUGGAUCCGCGCCGCAUUAGCUAGUUGGUAAGGUAACGGCUUACCAAGGCAACGAUGCGUAGCCGACCUGAGAGGGUGAUCGGCCACACUGGAACUGAGACACGGUCCAGACUCCUACGGGAGGCAGCAGUAGGGAAUCUUCCGCAAUGGGCGAAAGCCUGACGGAGCAACGCCGCGUGAGUGAUGAAGGUCUUCGGAUCGUAAAACUCUGUUAUUAGGGAAGAACAAAUGUGUAAGUAACUAUGCACGUCUUGACGGUACCUAAUCAGAAAGCCACGGCUAACUACGUG
rnacentral:rRNA from 1 species